ACUCAAAAAUACGUAAUUUGACCAAAUUUUGGUACGACUGAGGCAGGUCGUAAGUGCGGGUGGUCGCAAGUCGGGGAGUACCUGUAUAUAGUAUACGGUAAAACCUAUAUCAACCGACCCUCGAUUAACCGACUUUCGGAUUAACAACCGAUCCCAGACCCCUAAAAUAAAUAAAUAAAUCGGCAAUAAAAUAAAAAAUUGGAAAAUCGAUGGUAUUUGAUUUUUCCAUAUCCCAGUGCAUAUACAGUAGUGCUAAGAUUAAAUAAAUGUUUGUUUACUCAGUGCAUAUAGUGCUAAAGUGGUUAAUGUUUUAAAGUAAAUGCUAUUGAAAUAUGAAUGGCAAAUGAACAAAAAUGAAUAGAGGGACUUAAAUGAGGUAGGUUAGGGAAAGGUACUUUAAAAAUGUAUGUUUUAUUUCCGUAGAAUUUAUGUACUAUUAACCGACCUUUUGGAUUACGGUAUCCGUCGGCCUCUUCCCCCCAUAUGUGGGCGGUUAAGCGAGGUUUUACUGUAGUAUGAAUAUAAAAGGUGAUGGGAUAUAUUUUGAAACAUCCAAAAGAGAGACCGAUUCAUUUCCUCACCAAAAGGAGUAUUGAGGCACUUCAGAGAUUUCUUCGAUUGCUUGUAACUUUUAGGACAACUUUAGGUUAAGUGUAUGGACAGGUAUUAUGAGUGUCAGUUUUUCAGAUGGCCAAAGAUUUUUAAUUUUUUGAGAUUGUGUUGAACAAACUUACAGUACAUACACAGAGAACAUGAAGUUGGAUGUACAGUCACCCAAAAAACUAUCUCUGCUGUUGUCUCGGAAGGGUUGUCAAAAUCCUUCGUUCGUUGUCCUAUUUGUUCAACACAAUUUUGUAAAGAUGGUUUUUUGAGUGACUGUACAGUGUGCCUGUCUGUCUGUCUAUUUCUGUUGAUACACUUUUCAUGGGUCAGUGGUAGUAAACUGUGUCACUUAUGUAUGAAACGGCAAGACAUCCAGAAUGUUUAUAAUCACUCUGGUAGUCCACAUAGUAACCCAUACGUAGACCACAUUAUUCUUCUGGACAUGCUACACGUCAUACUGCAAAUUAAGUCCAAGAAUUCAGCUUUUAUCAUUGUCCUCCUUGACAUAUUGUCUGAUGAAAUAAUUAUAAUUUGAUUCAUGUAUUAUUGGAAUAUUGUUCUUAUUGCUUGUAGUGAUGCCCCCUCUCCUCUCACACACCCCCCCCUCCUAAACUCAUGGUUGUGUCUCCCACAUUUGUGUUUUAAUAUCAAGUUUGCUCAGACUCAACUGAUUUUAUUUAAGAUUUAAGUUUCAUAACAAUGGGAAUGUGUUUUCUGUGAAGUAUAUGCCUGUGAAGUUGUGUUAACGUUGAAGGGUAUACCAAAUAUCAUGGUAGACUUGAGCUAUGAAUUAUGAUGAAAUUUUUAACAAUUGGAUUUUAUUGGGCUGGGAAAAUUAUCUUGUUUGGGUAAAAGUGGCAAUAAGUUGCUAGAAUAAGAUGCAAGUUCAAGCACUUUACUGUAUAAAUGAAGGCAAGAAUACUUAAGUAAUUUGUUCACAACUGUAGUAAAGCUAAGUAGUGUUUUCUGAGUUGUAGAUUUGGUUAGUAGGUGAAGUAAGAAAAAUAGGAAUAAAACACGGAGGUUAUCACACACAAGGAGGAACACUGUUAUAAGGGUGGAGUAAAACAUGGAGGUUAUCACACACAAGGAGGAACACUGUUAUAAGGGUGGAGUAAAACAUGGAGGUUAUCACACACAAGGAGGAACACUGUUAUAAGGGUGGAGUAAAACAUGGAGGUUAUCACACACAAGGUGGAACACUGUUAUAAGGGUGGAGUAAAACAUGGAGGUUAUCACACACAAGGAGGAACACUGUUAUAAGGGUGGAGUAAAACAUGGAGGUUAUCACACACAAGGUGGAACACUGUUAUGAGGGUGGAGUAAAACAUGGAGGUUAUCACACACAAGGUGGAACACUGUUAUAAGGGUGGAGUAAAACAUGGAGGUUAUCACACACAAGGAGGAACACUGUUAUAAGGGUGGAGUAAAACAUGGAGGUUAUCACACACAAGGAGGAACACUGUUAUAAGGGUGGAGUAAAACAUGGAGGUUAUCACACACAAGGUGGAACACUGUUAUGAGGGUGGAGUAAAACAUGGAGGUUAUCACACACAAGGUGGAACACUGUUAUGAGGGUGGAGUAAAACAUGGAGGUUAUCACACACAAGGAGGAACACUGUUAUGAGGGUGGAGUAAAACAUGGAGGUUAUCACACACAAGGAGGAACACUGUUAUGAGGGUGGAGUAAAACAUGGAGGUUAUCACACACAAGGAGGAACACUGUUAUGAGGGUGGAGUAAAACAUGGAGGUUAUCACACACAAGGAGGAACACUGUUAUGAGGGUGGAGUAAAACAUGGAGGUUAUCACACACAAGGUGGAACACUGUUAUGAGGGUGGAGUAAAACAUGGAGGUUAUCACACACAAGGAGGAACACUGUUAUGAGGGUGGAGUAAAACAUGGAGGUUAUCACACACAAGGAGGAACACUGUUAUGAGGGUGGAGUAAAACAUGGAGGUUAUCACACACAAGGUGGAACACUGUUAUGAGGGUGGAGUAAAACAUGGAGGUUAUCACACACAAGGAGGAACACUGUUAUGAGGGUGGAGUAAAACAUGGAGGUUAUCACACACAAGGUGGAACACUGUUAUGAGGGUGGAGUAAAACAUGGAGGUUAUCACACACAAGGAGGAACACUGUUAUGAGGGUGGAGUAAAACAUGGAGGUUAUCACACACAAGGUGGAACACUGUUAUGAGG